rnacentral:misc_RNA from 1 species
GAUGAAGAACGCAGCGAAAUGCGAUACUUGGUGUGAAUUGCAGAAUCCCGUGAACCAUCGAGUCUUUGAACGCAAGUUGCGCCCGAAGCCACUAGGCCGAGGGCACGCCUGCCUGGGCGUCACACGCCGUUGCCCCCCCAUUUACUCCUUCGGGAUUGCGGGGGGGCGGAUGAUGGCCUCCUGUGCGCCUAGCCGCGCGGUUGGCAUAAAUACCAAGUCCUCGGCGACGCACGCCACGACAAUCGGUGGUUGCGAAACCUCGGUUGCCCGUCGUGUGCGUUCGUCGCGCAUCGAGGGCUCGAAAAAAUGCUCGGCUCCGGCUGGGCUUUCAACGCGACCCCAGGUCAGGCGGGGUUACCCGCUGAAUUUAAGCAUAUCAAUAAGCGGAGGA